UCGAGAAUCUUCCGCAAUGGACGAAAGUCUGACGGAGCGACGCCGCGUGCGGGAUGAAGGCCUUCGGGUUGUAAACCGCUGUCAGUUGGGAGGAAGUGCUAUAGGGUUCUCUCUAUAGCUUGACCGAUCUUCAGAGGAAGUACGGGCUAAGUACGUGCCAGCAGCCGCGGUAAUACGUACCGUACGAACGUUAUUCGGAAUCACUGGGCUUAAAGAGUCCGUAGGCGGCCUUAAAGGUGAGGUGUGAAAUCCCACGGCUUAACCGUGGAACUGCGCUUCAAACCAUAAGGCUAGAGGGAGAUAGAGGAAAGCGGAACUGAUGGUGGAGCGGUGAAAUGCGUUGAUAUCAUCAGGAACACCGGUGGCGAAAGCGGCUUUCUGGGUCUCUUCUGACGCUGAGGGACGAAAGCUAGGGGAGCGAACGGGAUUAGAUACCCCGGUAGUCCUAGCUGUAAACGAUGAGCACUAGUUCGAGGGGACCCCCACAUCCUCUUGGACGUAGCGAAAGUGUUAAG
rnacentral:rRNA from 1 species